CUUCAACGACCCGAGCCACAAUGGCCGUUCAGGCUCUCGGCCCUGCCCGUACGUCGCGAGCAGCGCCUGCGCCUC
rnacentral:antisense_RNA from 1 species